AUGGCGUCUCCCUCGGAUGCACGCCCGGCAACAAGUGGCGGGUCGCAGGCAGAUCGAAUAGGUGACCUGGAUGACUUUUUUGGGCAACUUGACCUUGAAGACGAAGUUUUCGACGAUCUAGUAAUUGACGAGGAGAUCCCAGAGAUCAAUGAACGCGUUAGGUGGAUGGCUCUUGCUCGUUUCCAUACCGACAAGACCAUCAGCCAAGCGGCGUUCUUCAAAGAAAUGAGGGCAGCGUGGAACCCGGCGCAACCAGUGAAAUUCAAGCCGAAGGGGGCCAACCUAUUCGUCAUGCAUGCAUCUUGUCUAGGCGACUGGGAACGAAUUAUGUACCAAGGACCGUGGUUGUUCAGAUUUUGGGCAGUGCUGCUGCAUCCUUACAAUGGUUUCAAUCGAGUUGAGGACAUGCAGCUGGUUCAUAUGCCGAUAUGGCAACAGAUUCAUAAGCUGCCGGAAGGAUAUUGUAGCAAGGACAUUGUGGAAAAGCUCAUCCGUAAGGUUGGAGAAAUUAUGGAAUUUAGGCUUGCUGGGAAUUCCAGAGGUAACUAUAUACGAAUCAAGGUCAAACAUGAUGUUAGAGAACCCCUUACGAAACAUGUCAGUAUUAUCAAGGGGAAGGACGGGCAGGUGUUUGCUAUGAGAUACGAGAAACUUGCACGCUUCUGUAAGUUUUGUGGGAGAAUUGGUCAUGAGUUUAAGGAGUGUGGCUCAGGCGUAUACACCGCAAAGGAUCUGAAAUUUGGUGACUGGUUAUACGCGGAUCCACCUAAUAUGUACAGGGCUGAGAAUCAUGGGACUGGAAGUACUGUUGUGGCUACAUCUGCUGCUAAUGGCAGUGAGGACCUGCAUGAUAGUAGGACUACCCCCAAUUAA
rnacentral:rRNA from 1 species